AAGUUGCUAACUCUAGGGCGAAUU
rnacentral:piRNA from 1 species